AGGGGUAGAAUUCUUCGGAAUUUGAGACCGGCGCACGGGUGCGUAACGCGUAUGCAAUCUGCCUUCCACAGAGGGAUAGCCCAGAGAAAUUUGGAUUAAUACCUCAUAGUAUAGCCAAACCGCAUGGUUUGGCUAUUAAAGUCACAACGGUGGAAGAUGAGCAUGCGUCCCAUUAGCUAGUUGGUAAGGUAACGGCUUACCAAGGCUACGAUGGGUAGGGGUCCUGAUAGGGAGAUCCCCCACACUGGUACUGAGACACGGACCAGACUCCUACGGGAGGCAGCAGUGAGGAAUAUUGGUCAAUGGGCGCAAGCCUGAACCAGCCAUGCCGCGUGCAGGAUGACGGUCCUAUGGAUUGUAAACUGCUUUUGUACGGGAAGAAACACUCCGACGUGUCGGAGCUUGACGGUACCGUAAGAAUAAGGAUCGGCUAACUCCGUGCCAGCAGCCGCGGUAAUACGGAGGAUCCAAGCGUUAUCCGGAAUCA
rnacentral:rRNA from 1 species